rnacentral:rRNA from 1 species
UACAGAGGGCGCGAGCGUUGUCCGGAAUCACUGGGCGUAAAGGGCUCGUAGGCGGCCAACUAAGUCAGACGUGAAAUCCCCAGGCUCAACCUGGGAACUGCGUCUGAUACUGGAUGGCUUGAAUCCGGGAGAGGGAUGCAGAAUUCCAGGUGUAGCGGUGAAAUGCGUAGAUAUCUGGAGGAAUACCGGUGGCGAAGGCGGCAUCCUGGACCGGCAUUGACGCUGAGGAGCGAAAGCCAGGGGAGCAAACGGG